UACGGAGGGUGCAAGCGUUAUCCGGAUUCACUGGGUUUAAAGGGUGCGUAGGCGGGCACUUAAGUCAGUGGUGAAAUACCUGAGCUUAACUUGGGAACUGCCAUUGAUACUAUUUGUCUUGAAUGUCGUGGAGGUUAGCGGAAUAUGUCAUGUAGCGGUGAAAUGCUUAGAUAUGACAUAGAACACCUAUUGCGAAGGCAGCUAACUACGCGAAUAUUGACGCUGAGGCACGAAAGCGUGGGGAUCAAACAGG
rnacentral:rRNA from 1 species